GGUCGAGUGAUAAGAUGGAGUC
rnacentral:siRNA from 1 species